UACAGAGGUCUCAAGCGUUGUUCGGAUUCAUUGGGCGUAAAGGGUGCGUAGGUGGCGACGCAAGUCUGGUGUGAAAUCCCGGGGCUCAACCCCGGAACUGCACUGGAUACUGCGUUGCUAGAGCACUGGAGAGGGAACUGGAAUUUACGGUGUAGCAGUGAAAUGCGUAGAUAUCGUAAGGAAGACCAGUGGCGAAGGCGAGUUCCUGGACAGUUGCUGACACUGAGGCACGAAGGCCAGGGGAGCAAACGGGAUUAGAUACCCUCGUAGUCC
rnacentral:rRNA from 1 species